UCCGAAGAGACGUUAAGGAUUUCCAACUGUUUCAUAUUAAACCGCAAGAUGGAAAAUGAUGAAAACGGAAGCAGAGCAACGGAAGCCCUUCCACAAGAUGAAGAGCUUAACCUGCUGCUGCUGCUGCAUCGUAAAAUUGCUUUAUUGCUACCUGGAAGCACCUCGUCGUAAUCAGCCGUUUCAAAAUCCAAAAUCCAACGGGCGUUACGCCGUUACCUAGCAACUGCAGACGACGCCUAGCAACCAAAGCGAAGCUCCGGAAGACAAUGUGGAUUCCCCCCGUCAUCCAAGUUGCACAAUGGAGUCAACAGACGGAUUCCUGUGGAUGGAAGAGCGGGUGUGUAGGUAGCGCUGGGAGUAAUCGCCCCAUUGUUACAGAAAUAAAAAACGCAGAGGCUGACAUUUGUUGUUUAUUCUGGGUGUUUCCAUCACACCCACCAUGAAGUGAUGGUUGAACUUUCUAGGUAGUUAAAAUAAAAUCUGAAAAGCUUCA